AUACGUAGGGUGCGAGCGUUGUCCGGAAUUACUGGGCGUAAAGAGCUCGUAGGUGGUUUGUCGCGUUGUUCGUGAAAACUCAAGGCUUAACCUUGGGCGUGCGGGCGAUACGGGCAGACUGGAGUACUGCAGGGGAGACUGGAAUUCCUGGUGUAGCGGUGGAAUGCGCAGAUAUCAGGAGGAGCACCGGUGGCGAAGGCGGGUCUCUGGGCAGUAACUGACGCUGAGGAGCGAAAGCGUGGGGAGCGAACA
rnacentral:rRNA from 1 species